rnacentral:ncRNA from 1 species
GGGGCCCGCACAAGCGGAGGAGCAUGUGGUUUAAUUCGAUGCAAAGCGAAGAACCUUACCAGGGCUUGACAUGCCGCGAAUCCUCUUGAAAGAGAGGGGUGCCCUCGGGAACGCGGACACAGGCGGUGCAUGGCUGUCGUCAGCUGCUGCCGUAAGGUGUUGGGUUAAGUCUCGCAACGAGCGCAACCCUCGUGUUUAGUUGCCACUAUGAGUUUGGAACCCUGAACAGACCGCCGGUGUUAAGC